rnacentral:lncRNA from 1 species
UCCAGGUCAGUGAGGUCAUCCCUUCUGUGUUUCCUUUUCAUAUAUGUUAAUCUCUGUAUGUGUUUACAAAUAAAGAAUUUUGUGACUUAAUUUUGACAUUAAAUUAAGGAUUUAGAGUUUGUUAUGUCAUGAAUUAGAGAUUAUGUGUUAUUUUUAUUGAAUAAUAUUUAUUGAUUAUUGUAAUAAAAUUCUCAAUAAUUUUAUUAAUUUUAAUAAACAUAAUAAUUAUUAACGUAAUUUUUUUUAAAAGUGCCUAUAAGGCUAUAAUCACAAAAUUAAUAUUUUUAAUACUCAAAUUAGUCAAAUCAAUUAAGAUUCCAAAACCAACUCAAAUAAUCUAAAAUAUAACAUAACCCAUAUUAAAUAUAGAUAAUAUAAUUUUAAUUCCAAAAUCAACUCAAAUCUAUUUUAUAUAACUCAAAAUUAACUCAAACUUAUUUUUUUGCCGGGUGUAGUAUUAGGUAAUGUCAAGGUAAGACUAGGGAGUAGGGACGGUUCGAGCUUCCUUAAUUUUAAAGGGCGGCAACACAUGCACUCUACCAGCAUAAUAAACUAAUGAUAAAGCAGAAGAUUAAAUAUGUGUAUGUCUACUCAAACCAUGCUAUUCCAUCUGCCUCAGCCUAUAUAUAAUUAAUUCAAUAGGUAAACCCAAAAUAUUACCAAUAAACCAGAGAGAGAGAGAGAGGAUCAAUGGGAAAAAGUAAAAUCCUGAUAAUUGGGGGAACUGGGUAUUUGGGGAAGAGACUUGUGAAGGCAAGUUUAGAUGAAGGCCAUGAAACCUUGGUUCUCCAUCGGCCCGAGAUUGGGGUCGAUAUAGAGAAGGUCCAAAUGUUGUUAUCAUUUAAGGCCCAAGGAGCUCACCUUGUGUCCGGUUCCUUCAACCACUACCAGAGCCUGGUGGAUGCUGUGAAAAUGGUGGACGUUGUAAUUUGUGCCAUCUCGGGUGUUCAUAUUCGAAGUCAUCAAAUCCUGCUUCAGCUCAAACUCGUCGAUGCAAUCAAAGAAGCUGGAAAUGUCAAGGUAAAUUAAAAUAAUAAACAAUAAUAAUUUAUAUACGGCAAUUGAUAUAUAUAUAUAUAUAUAUAUAUAUAUAUAUAUGAUGUGUAAUUAAUUAUGAUAUAUAUGAAUGCACGCAGAGAUUUUAUCCGUCGGAGUUUGGAACAGAUCCGGCGAGAAUGGAAGAUGCAAUGGAGCCGGGAAGGGUGACAUUUGAUGAUAAAAUGGUGGUGAGGAAAGCUAUUGAAAACGCCGGGAUACCCUACACCUACAUCUCAGCCAACUGCUUUGCCGGAUACUUCCUUGGCGGUCUAUGUCAGCCUGGCCACAUUCUUCCUUCCAGGGAUUCUGUUGUCUUGUUGGGAGAUGGCAAUCAAAAAGGUAUUUUAUUCUUUACUUAUCAUCAUUUGUCAAAUCGAUAUAUAGAAAUGAAUUGUAUUUUAAUUUCUACUGAUUUUAAAUAAAUAUAUGUAUUCAGAUAGUACAAUAUAUAUAAUUAAUAUAUGUUAGAUUGGGCAUAUAUGGUGCAGGGGUAUAUGUUGAUGAGGAUGAUAUUGCCGCAUACACCAUCAAGAGUGUAGAUGAUCCACGAGCUCUGAAUAAGACACUCUAUAUUAGACCACCUCAAAACAUACUCUCCCAAUGCCAAGUUAUUCAGUUGUGGGAGAAACAUAUUGGAAAACAACUACACAAGUCUUCAAUCUCCGAACAAGAAUUUUUAGCUAACAUGAAAGGUAAUUCAAUUAUCCCCCUAUCUAUCUCAAUAUACAAUUAAUUACUACUUAAUGAAUUUUUAGUUCCAAAUCACUAAUACACUUUUUGCCUAUAAAUAUAACUGCUUAAAAAAUAAUAAUAACUCGAGAGAAGGAAAUUUGGUAAUAUUUUCAUUUUGAAUUUUUGCCAAACUAAUAUGACUUUUUUUUUUAUUUUCAUUUUUAUAAAUAGGUCUAGAUUAUGCAGAGCAAGUGGGAUUAACUCAUUACUACCACGUUUGCUACCAAGGAUGCCUUGCAAAUUUUGAAAUAGAGGAUGAGGAGGAGGUAUCUAAGCUCUAUCCGGAAAUUAAUUACACCACGGUGGAUGAAUAUCUCAAACGAUAUAUAUAAUUUCUCAAGUGAAUGGGUUCUUUAGUUUGAUAUUGUUUAUCAUAAAUUUAUCUACUUGAAUAUUGAAUAAAUCUCUUUAAUUAAUGUAAAUAACAAUCAUAUAUAUAUAUAUAUAUAUAUAUAUAUAUAUAUAUAUAUAUGUUGUUAUAGUACAUUUGAUGGAAGUUAUGAAUGUUAAAGAAAAUCGAUUAAAUUUGUGUGUACUUCUUUUGUUAUGUUUAUAGAGUUGGAUAGCCAAUUGGGCCAAGUGUUUUUCGCGAGGGUGAUGAUCGAUUUUAGUUGUUCAUUCGUAUAUCAUGUUCAAAUUAUUUAGAUUGCAUUAUAUAUAUAGGGGUUCUAUCCACAACAACUGGUUGUUGUGCCCUAUAUAUAUAUAUAUAUAUAUAUAUCCACAGUUGCUAGGAGCAUCCCUUUCGGCCCAGUCGCUACAACAUGUAGUGGCUUGUUACAAUUUUUUUUUUGUUGCUCCAGUUGCUACAAUAUGAAGCUAAAAAAAGAUUGCUCCCAGCAAUCAGUAACUGUGGUGUUCCAUCCACAGCAACCGGUUGGUUGGUGUGGAGCAACCCCUUUUUUGACCGGUUGAUUAUUUUAUUUUCUCCGGCCGAAAUUUCAACAGACCAAAAAAAGGGGUUGCUCAACAGCAACCGGUUGCUGUGGAUGGAACCCCUAUAUAUAUAUACUAGACAUACUAUCCGUGCCUCCGGCACUACGUACGAAGGGGAGGAGAGAUUGCCGGUGCUAGAGAAUAGAGGAGGCAGAUGGCAAGCUCGGUAGGAGGAAGAACGGAGGAGAAUCUGAGAGUGAGAGAGAUCAAUUUUUUAUCCUUUGAAGUUAAAAAUGAUAUAAUGGACGGUGGGAUUUAUCUCAAACUUUGGACGGUUCUGAUCGUUUAUUAGGGUGAGCGAAAAAUUUAAAAUCAGUUGCGUUUUGGCCCAUAUGUCUAUUUUGCUUUGCAAAAAUGCCCUGAGCGUACUUAUAUAGCUGCACGUCUAGACUGUUAAGUGAUGCAAUCUCCUGGAGAACCAGUUCAGGAAUAUGAAGACGUGCCUGAAAAUUUUCAAAGUCCAAAACAUUGGCAUACUGCAAUAAAGUACAUUUUAUCAAUUAUAUAUAAAUAUCAACUAAAGUCUUCGAUCAGAUAUUCCUAACUAAAUGCCUAGAUUGUUCAUUCACUAGGUGAUACCCCUCGAGGAUGGGUUGCAGUUGCCAAAGGAAAGCUGUCCAUUUGACUAAGGAGUUUAGAGAUUUUCUUUGUUACAAAUUACACUAAAUAAAUACAACAUAACAGAAUAUCUUCCUACAUCAAAGCUACGUGCAGUAGAAAGUUUUUGACAUCAAUGUAGUCACUUUGUAUUUAAACCAAUGGGAAUUGUGCUGCUGGUAAUUGAAAAACUAUCAUGGAAUCUCAAUAUCUAACCUCAACAUCUAAUGUUCCAUAAAAGAAGUCAGAACCACAUCUCAAAUAGAGGUUUUAAACUUCAACCAACACAACACAGGUAACUUGCUAGAGUUCUAUAAAAAUGUCAAACAUAAGUCACAGACCACUAAAGCCAGUUGUGGUUAACCAUAAAAAAAUUCACUAGCAUUUUUGAGCUCAAACGCUAGAAUUUACUUGCAUUAAAGGAUGAUUUUACCAAUAAUCCCUGUGGUUCUUUUUAAAAUCUCAAUAAUAUAGACUACAUCAAAAGGUAACUAAAGAAAGUGUUAUUCCAAUAGAAAAGCUCAAGGUGAGUACCUCAACAUCAAAAUCGACUCUUUCUACACCCAGUUUACAAAUUCAACUAUACCCAGUUUACAAAUCCCUUCAAUCAAAAUCAUUUAUGUACGGCUAAACUACACAGGACCAUUAUUGUAAGAGAAAAUCCACGAAAUUGACACCAAUUCUAGAUUUUGGGUAUAAUAGUUGCUCCUGUCAAUUUAGUGUAACCAUGUAACAAAACCCCCAAAUAAAUCUUAGAUUUUAUUUGGUUCAAAAAAAAUUACAAAAUUAAUAAAGUGGAGUACCCUCACCUUCCGUUAGGUAUGGUUCCGUUGGUCGGUGGAAGCUUUUCCUUCCGUUCGUCUCUUUCGGUUUGCUACAAAUUCGCUUCGAGGGAGAGGGAAGAGUUAGAGAGAGGGAGAGAAGAGUUAGAGAGGGAGGGAAGAGUUAGCCGAUUCGCACAUGGACUGCUCUGUUCUUUACC